rnacentral:rRNA from 1 species
AAAUUGAAGAGUUUGAUCAUGGCUCAGAUUGAACGCUGGCGGCAGGCCUAACACAUGCAAGUCGAACGGUAACAGGAAUCAGCUUGCUGAUUCGCUGACGAGUGGCGGACGGGUGAGUAAUGUCUGGGAAACUGCCUGAUGGAGGGGGAUAACUACUGGAAACGGUAGCUAAUACCGCAUAACGUCGCAAGACCAAAGAGGGGGACCUUCGG